GUUUGCGGACUUCCAUUCCAUGUGUGAUAUGUAGGCUACCAUACACUUGACUCGAGAGCCCCAAAGCAGAAAGACCAAGCCAUUGAGAUUCCUGCUGAGCCACAGGACCACAGCAUCUGUGAAGAUCUCCCAGCCUUGACCCUCAUGAGAGGGACAACAUGAUGCCGUGUGGAUUGUACUCUGGAGGACUGUGUGAGUCCAAGCCCACUCUUAAAGUUUACCAUCUUUGAGGUUGUGUUGAUGUAAUCAGAGACGCACGCCGGUCUAACCCGUUCUAUAGCCAAGUACACUACUGUUGUAGUUUAGCAUUCCAUUAUAGCCCAGUGAAAUGAGUGCAUUGAAAAGAUCGUCGCAAGUGGCUUACAAACGCUGGAAAGACACAAAUAUCAGUUUUGUGACAUCACAGACAGAUGACAAAAGCAUCCUUACUGUUCAUGAGGAGCAGCCUGGGGAAAAUGAGCCUAGCAAUGAAGGAGUUUGCACUAUUCUGGAGCAAGAUUUGGGGGACAGCAAGAA